AAAUUAUUCAACCCACACAGGCUUUCUAGGGGUUAUUUAUAAGCCUGCAGCAAGCAUUCCAUUGAGAUAAGUAAAAUGUGACUGUCAUGAUGAAUGGAAUUCUCC